rnacentral:rRNA from 1 species
UUGAUAGGUCUGGUGUGGAAGCGUGGUGACACGUGGAGCUGACAGAUACUAAUCGGUCGAGGGCUUAUCCUUAAAA